UCCAGACUCCUACGGGAGGCAGCAGUGGGGGAUAUUGCACAAUGGGGGAAACCCUGAUGCAGCGACGCCGCGUGAGUGAAGAAGUAUUUCGGUAUGUAAAGCUCUAUCAGCAGGGAAGAAGAUGACAGUACCUGAGUAAGAAGCCCCGGCUAACUACGUGCCAGCAGCCGCGGUAAUACGUAGGGGGCAAGCGUUAUCCGGAUUUACUGGGUGUAAAGGGAGCGCAGACGGCAGUGCAAGUCUGGAGUGAAAGCCCGGGGCCCAACCCCGGGACUGCUCUGGAAACUGUACGGCUAGAGUACGGGAGGGGCAGGCGGAAUUCCUAGUGUAGCGGUGAAAUGCGUAGAUAUUAGGAGGAACACCGGCGGCGAAGGCGGCCUGCUGGACCGAAACUGGCGUUGAGGCUCGAAAGCGUGGGGAGCAAACAGGAUUAGAUACCCUAGUAAAU
rnacentral:rRNA from 1 species